GUGCGGCAUCUUUCCAAACUCCCCCGACCAUCCGAGCUUCAACGGUACCCUCCGGACUUCUCCAAUAAUGAGCUCCUUCAGUUGUCUAUCGGACUGCUCCAAAUGCUCUCUGGGCUUCACUAUCAGUCGAUUUUCUAUAGUGAUCGACUACUCUUCGAAUCUCUUCCAGACUUCCUCCUAUCACGAUCAACUUUACUACGAGUUUCUUUCGGGCUUCGUCAAUGUCCGAGCUUCUCUAGCAGCAGG
rnacentral:lncRNA from 1 species